rnacentral:rRNA from 1 species
CCUACGGGAGACUGCAGUGGGGAAUAUUGGGCAAUGGGCGCAAGCCUGACCCAGCAACGCCGCGUGAAGGAAGAAGGCUUUCGGGUUGUAAACUUCUUUUCUCAGGGACGAAGCAAGUGACGGUACCUGAGGAAUAAGCCACGGCUAACUACGUGCCAGCAGCCGCGGUAAUACGUAGGUGGCAAGCGUUAUCCGGAUUUACUGGGUGUAAAGGGCGUGUAGGCGGGAAAGCAAGUCAGAUGUGAAAACCAUGGGCUCAACCUGUGGCCUGCAUUUGAAACUGUUUUUCUUGAGUACUGGAGAGGCAGACGGAAUUCCUAGUGUAGCGGUGAAAUGCGUAGAGAUUAGGAGGAACACCAGUGGCGAAGGCGGUCUGCUGGACAGCAACUGACGCUGAGGCGCGAAAGCGUGGGGAGCAAACAGGAUUAGAUACCCCGGUAGUC